AUUGUGCUCAAUUUAUAUUGGGGUCUAUUUGUUUUGAAGUAAAACAUUUUCCGGAAAAGCUUUUCAGCCUUUUCCUGUGAUUGUUUGGGCUGAAAAUAUUUUCCUCAAGUAAAAUCAAUUACAAAAAAAGAGGCCCUUAAUUUUGGAAAAUGUCUUACGGAUUUUAUUUCUGUAAGACAUUUUCCGGUUCCUCCUUCAUGAGCAACCAGUUUGUGUAAGUAGUUCAAGUAGGCAAUGUUUAAGUUCGAACCAGCGACUUCCUAGAGUUUUGCUGCGAGUAAAAGACGCGUCCAUUUCUUCAAACAGGUUAUUAAGGAUUUUGUGCAAGUGGUGAGAUUAAACAGGCAUCGAGUUUGUUUGACUGUGAUGUCAAACAUGAGGACUAUUUGCUAAAGAAUUAUUACAAAACAGCUUCAUUGAUUGCAGCUAGUACCAAGGGAGCCGCCAUUUUCAGUGGAGCUGAUCGUAGUGUAGCAGAGCAAAUGUAUGAAUAUGGAAAGAAUCUUGGCCUAUCAUUCCAAGUUGUUGAUGACAUAUUGGAUUUUACACAAUCAGCAGAAGUUGAAGCCUGUACCAAUAUAGAACAGCUUUCUUAGGAUAUUAAUUGGUUCCUUGUCACUGAUUGUAUAUUUAUACAAGGCUUUGAGCUUUGACUUGAACUCCUAGUUUCAAUGUCUUCAAAUUAUACAUUUGUCUGAGAAAAAAUAAUUUCUCUGUUAAAUUAAAUUGAUGAACAAUAAAGUUUUUGUGAUCAUCAAUAUUAAGCUAAUAAACUUCCAUUAUGUAUACAAGGAAAACCUAUGUUAUAGGGGUUUCUCUUUUUCUUCUUAAAGUAUUUGUGUUUGACGUUUAUUUGAAAAAGUGUAAAUAGAAUUUUGUUGUUUUUAA